rnacentral:misc_RNA from 1 species
CAACCCUCAAGCUCUGCUUGGUAUUGGAUGUCACCCUUGUGGUGCAUCUCAAAAUCAGUAGCGGUGCCUUUUGGCCUCAAGUGUAGUAAAAUUUCUCGCUUUGGAGGUUCAGAUGUGUGCUUGCUAGUAAAACAUAUUUCUUUAAUGG